rnacentral:rRNA from 1 species
CUUGAACGCUGGCGGCAGGCCUAACACAUGCUAGUCGAACGAGUGGCGGACGGGUGAGUAAUGUCUGGGAAACUGCCUGAUGGAGGGGGAUAACUACUGGAAACGGUAGCUAAUACCGCAUACCAUCAGAUGUGCCCAGAUGGGCUUAGCUUGUGGGUGGGGUAACGGCUCACCAAGGCGCCGAUCCCUAGCUGGUCUGAGAGGAUGACCAGCCACACGGGUACUGAGACACGGACCAGACUCCUACGGGAGGCAGCAGUGGGGAAGAUUGCCCAAUGGGCGCAAGCCUGCUGCAGCCAGGCCGCGUGUAUGAAGAAGGCCUUCGGGUUGUAAAGUACGUUCAGCGGGGAGGCGUUACCCGCAGAAGAAGCACCGGCUAACUCCGUGCCAGCAGCCGCGGUAAUUC